rnacentral:rRNA from 1 species
UACAGAGGGGGCAAGCGUUAUUCGGAAUUAUUGGGCGUAAAGGGCGCGUAGGUGGCUUGGCAAGUGGAAGGUGAAAUCCCUCGGCUCAACUGAGGAACUGCCUUCCAGACUGCUUUGCUUGAGGCCGGGAGAGGCGAGUGGAAUUCCCAGUGUAGCGGUGAAAUGCGUAGAUAUUGGGAGGAACACCAGUGGCGAAGGCGACUCGCUGGACCGGUUCUGACGCUGAGGCGCGAAAGCUAGGGUAGCAAACGGG